CCUACGGGAGGCAGCAGUGGGGGAUAUUGCACAAUGGGGGGAACCCUGAUGCAGCGACGCCGCGUGGGUGAAGGAGCGUUUCGGCGCGUAAAGCUCUAUCGGCAGGGAAGUAGAUGACGGUACGUGACCAAGAAGCCCCGGCUAACUACGUUCCAGCAGCCGCGGCAAUACGUAGGGGGCAAGCGUUAUCCGGAUUUACUGGGUGUAAUGGGGGCGUAGACGGCUAUGCAAGUCAGGAGUGAAAGCCCGGGGCCCAACCCCGGGACUGCUGUUGAAACUGGAUGGCUGGAGUACAGGAGGGGCAGGCGGAAUUCCUAGUGUAGCGGUGAAAUGCGUAGAUAUUAGGAAGAACACCGAUGGCGAAGGCGGCCUACUAGACUGUGACUGACGUUGAGGCCCGAAGGCGUGGGGAGCAAACAGGAUUAGAUACCCGAGUAGUC
rnacentral:rRNA from 1 species